rnacentral:lncRNA from 1 species
UGCUUCACUUCAAACCAGGGAAGUGUGUGCAUAUAUUUUUCCAUUUAAAUUCAGUUAUAAUGGUUGGGAUAAAAUAUGCAGAGAAGCUAACAAGGGAGCUGAUAAAUUGGCCAGCCUUCUUUCUAAUCCGAUUGCCUGUAUUCAACUGGUUAGGCAACCACCGAUUGCCUGUAUUCGGUUUUCUUCAAGAUGAUCUGAAUAGUCCCUUGUAGUAAUUUUCUUAAGGCUACGCCUUCCUUUGUUACCAAAAAAUGAGAAAUAUGGGGAAAAAUCAAAGUAAGUUCACUUUCCUUUACAUGGUAGAAAAUAUUAUAUUUCGAUAAAUAAUUUUAAUCUAUAGUAAUUAUUAAAAAAGAACUUGAAGGGCUUUUCUUUCAACAUUUUAACGAAAACAAAACUUACCGAGCGAAGGGACAUUUGCUUUCCAACCAUUACCGAGCGAAAGCCACAGUUUGGAUACUGGUAGUCUAACGUGUAAUUGUGA